CUUCCCCAGCAGGCCUUCUUUCUUGCAGAGUGUUUGUGUUGGAGAAGGGGGUGGUCUGCUCUGCCCUGGCAUAGCCUAAGCCUCGGGGUUGAGUCCAGAGACUAUGGGUUGAGCCCUACCUACUGACUUGUUUUUAGCUGAGACUAUGGAUUUGGCUUGCAAGGUGCUGGGACAGUUAAGAGUAAAAGCAGGCUUUUUCUUUUGACCCUCUGGUUUUUGUGCCUGGCAGUGUGAUUAGGAGGGAGGCAGAGAGGAGCAACAGACGAAAAGGGGGUGUGGGGAUCCCCAGGGAGGCAUUGUGGAGACCAGUGUGGGUGCCUUCGAGAACUUUCUAGUGAGACCUGGAAGACCCUUUUAGAUGGGCGUGCAGGGUGGGUAGGCUCUCAGAUGGUUCGGGGCUCAGAAGGGGCUGUGUGUGCCCAAGCUUCCAGGAAAAGGUUAGGCUAACCAAUGCCUGUGAUGAUUGCAGCCUCCCUAGCUGCCCAAGGACUGUUCCUAAUUCCAGGCCCCGAUGGGGAAGUGGAGCGGCUGGGGUGCCCCUUCUCCAUCUCUCUAGCUGCUUGGCUGAGACCUAGAAAUGGAGGGCUGCAAGCCAGAGCCCUGAAGAAGGUAUUAGGUUCUUACUCUGAAAGGUUCUGGCUGAGUCCCACGGCAGUGCCUAACCUGGCUGUGCUCCCCUGGUCUGGAGGUCCAAGAGGACCUGCUCUUUGCACCUUGCUCUUCUUGUCCACUGGGGGCUCUGCCGACAGGAAUUGGGGUACAUUUCAGAGAGGCAACUUUUUUUGCUGAUCCCAGAGUCCAGCCGAGACCUCUCUCUCUGUCUGGAGCACCCCAAAUCAGGCACAUUGCCGUUGGUCGAGUUUGUGCUGUGCCUGGACUGAUAGGAUUCCAGUUCCAGGAGAAAGUGUGGCCGCCAGUCAGCUCUACCACAGGCAGGCAUAGACCAGCACAAAUAAAAUGGGGAAAGUAGUUUGAGGUGGAUAUGGUUGGGGGCUUUGGUCUGGGCGAGGGGCAGGGCUCACCAGCCUCCAGCCUACCUGUGUCCUGCUGGCCUGCACCUCUUCCUACCUGACCCUUAGCUCAGCUGUGGCAGUGCUUCUUCCAGCUCCGCCACCGGCCUGGAUGACUCAACAUGUGGGGGCAGGAGGCCGAGGAAGCUGGAAAUGGCCCUCCAAGGCAUUUGUGCAGAUUUGGGGGAUUUUUUUUUUUUUUUAAACAUACUGGAAGGACCCUUUCCAGCCUCUUAUACAUAUCUGCCAGGUCUCUUCCGCUCCCCCUCAAUCCUUUAUGGAGCUUGUGUUUAAAACAAGGAGAUGAUGCCCCCUGGUUUUUCGGAGCACAGAACUCUAAAGUCACAAGAUUUGAGCAGGAUGUUCCCUUAGAGCAGAGCGGUCCACCUCCUAAUUUUACAAAACAAUUAAACAGUUGCAAUGGCUUUGUUGAAAGUAUAUUUGUUUAAAAAAGAAACAAGGCGCCGUAGAGCUGGAUGCUUCAAUGCAGUCGGGAUGUGUUUGCGGGGGAAUUUUGGUGCUGGGCGAACCGCAGGUCCGGAGUUCCGAGCCUGGGUCCAGCUAGGCGGCAGCCUCCAGGCGGGCAUUAUUCACGCCCCUCACGGUGCCCUCCUCCUCCUUCGCCCCCUCUUUCUUCCAAUAAGGCCAAUUAGGUAUCUGCACUAGGCCGGCCAGUUGGGGGCUGAGGAGGGGUUGUUAUCAAGACAAUCCCGUGGACAAAUACCCCGGGCGGGUCUCGCCUCAGCGUUUCUCAGGGAGAGCCAGUGCAGCGAGGCAGGCAGGGGCUCACUGGGGAAGCGAUGUUCUUUGCACAAUAAAAGUGUGUUUCACGAUUUAUUUUUUUCCUUUGAGGAUCGCAGAUGCGUAUUUAUUGCAUCUGUGCGUAAAUGCUUUUAAGACGAGAAUCCAGGCAAGGGGGCGCAGAAACGUGCCUUCUCGAUUUUGUGCAGCCUGUGUGUCAGCGGUAUAGGGAAAUUAACACACCAUCCCCCGCCCCCCAGUAACUUUUGAAAAAUAUGUCCUCGCCCGGUGAGGAGCUGCGGGGUUCGGUCAUAGAAAGAGGUUGCUAUUUUUAUUAAGCGUUUCUUCUUCCUUUCGAUUUGUUUUCAAGAUCCGGGACACCCAGAAGCGCAACGUUAUUUUACGCACCACGGGGGUGAUUAAUUGACGUUCGGGCACAUUUAAUACUAUUUGCUAAAAUGCACCCGCACGUCCUGGACGGAUGCAACAGAGCGCGCGGGCCACGGCAUUUGGGCAAUUUCACGCGUAACUCGAAAAGUUUACUUUUUCUCCGUACGUGUUUUCUGGAGGGCUCUUUCCUUAAAAAGGGGGGGGGGGGGCCGUCGGAUCGUUUUGCGCCCGAGGCUCUGGCCCCUCGGCAGCCGGAGCUCCUUCUCCGACAGAAAACCAGGUUAGAAGCCGGGAGGAAACGGGGCCUCCAAACGCAAAAUCACGGACACCUCUCUCUCCUUCCUCCUCCUGAGAACACAUGAAAAAAAAAAUUUUUUUUUUAAUGACAACAUAAUGCCCCCCCCCGCGCCCCAUUUUUUUUUUUCUUGGUGGCUUUGGCCAAGUAGAAUUAUGUAAGUCCCCUUUCUUGCCGUCUGUCGCUCGUCUGGAAAGCGUUUCUAUCCUGAGGAGGUGGCGAAUUCCUGGAGGAGGCUGCGGAAGGGGGGAGGGUCGGUGGGAGAGUCCAAAAAUCUGUCACAAAAUGGAGUCUAAUCGCUUGUAAGACAGCUCCCAGGCCGGGCGACCCGAGAUUCGUUGGUGUGCGAGCGGGAGCCUGCGCGCGCCGGAGGACGCGGCGCUCCUGCUCGGGCCACGCUCCCACCUCGGCGUCCUGGGCUGGCGGCGCCCUUCCGCCGGCCGGGCCUGCCCGGGCGGCCUCGCCUCUCGGCACGCAGAGUUACAGGGCUCCGCUGAGCCUGCGAGGGUCCCCUUGGGCUCCCCUGCCCAGGAUUUUUCUUGAGUAGGAGAAGAAGGCUGUGAGGAUUUCCUCUGGGGUAUGUGACUGUCGACCCUCAGCUCCCUCCCGUCCUGCCCCUUGGAGCCAGGCUUAGGGCCACACAGUCCUGGCAUCUACCUGAGCCGCUUCUGUAAAAUGGGGACAUACCCACCUGGGAGAAAGGAUUCUAAUAAGGAUUCGAGAUAACAUGCCCCAAAGGACCUGGCAUCUUGCCUGGCAUGUUGUUAAGACUCUGGAAAUUAUUGUUGUCGCUAUUAUCACCAUCAGUGUGGCAAGAAUGUCUUGUCGCCGAAGACAUACCAAACUGCCUCUGUGUUCCAUGCCAGAGAAAGGUGCAGCUGGCAUGGUAGGCUUGCCGAGAACCUCUCUGUGCGGGGAAGAUGAGGAGCACCCCUGGGAAAAUUGCUCCCUUUGCCUGAGUGGGGCACUGUGAGGGCCAACACUCCUUCAGUGAUGAAAAGAACUCUAGGUUCUGAGACAGAACUGGAUUCACCUCCCAGCCCCACCAUUCAGCAGCCGUGUGAUCUUAACCAAGUGACAACCUGUCUCUGAGCCCCAGGUUCUCCAUCAGCAAAUUAGGAGUGAUGAUACAACAUCCCGGGGUGGUUGGAAGGAUAGCACGAGGUAUCUGGUGAGGCUGCAGUAAGUGUUCCAGACUCCAUGGGAUCCAGUAUCGUCCUCACGACCUCCAGAGAGGCAGAAAAACUGAUUGUAGAGGUCAGAACAAAUGCCACCUGUGCAUGAUCGGGAAGGGCAGGUAUCAGGAUGAGCCUGGUGUUCUGGCCUGUUUCUCUUUGGGGCAGGGGUGCGUGAGAGGGAGUGGAAGUUGGUCCAGAGCGAAGAUCUUUCCACUGGGGAGCAACUGGAAUCUCUAGAGUCUGAGUACAGCUUGGAAAAUCCUACACAGAAGUAUAAUUUCAUAUUUGGAAAACC